AAAUUGAAGAGUUUGAUCAUGGCUCAGAUUGAACGCUGGCGGCAGGCCUAACACAUGCAAGUCGAACGGUAGCACAGAGAGCUUGCUCUCGGGUGACGAGUGGCGGACGGGUGAGUAAUGUCUGGGAAACUGCCUGAUGGAGGGGGAUAACUACUGGAAACGGUAGCUAAUACCGCAUAACGUCGCAAGACCAAAGAGGGGGACCUUCGGGCCUCUUGCCAUCAGAUGUGCCCAGAUGGGAUUAGCUAGUAGGUGGGGUAAUGGCUCACCUAGGCGACGAUCCCUAGCUGGUCUGAGAGGAUGACCAGCCACACUGGAACUGAGACACGGUCCAGACUCCUACGGGAGGCAGCAGUGGGGAAUAUUGCACAAUGGGCGCAAGCCUGAUGCAGCCAUGCCGCGUGUAUGAAGAAGGCCUUCGGGUUGUAAAGUACUUUCAGCGGGGAGGAAGGGGCUGAGCUUAAUACGCUCAGC
rnacentral:rRNA from 1 species